rnacentral:lncRNA from 1 species
ACGUGAUAUCGCAAAAUUUCCCUAGCUGAAGAUACAUCCAAAUAUCGGAAAGUAUUAAAUUUUGGCAUAAAUAGAGGGACAAAAACUUUUCGUUAAAAAUUGAAAAUAACCGAAAUAUCCGGCUAUCGAUACCCUUUCAUUUUUUUCUUUCUUCUUUCUUUUUUCUAGCAACGAAAUACACACGUACGGGAAGAAGAUAUAUGUGUAUAUAUAUACCCCUCGCGGGGUAUAUAUAUUUCGAAGCGGGAUGCUGUAGAUAAUCCGCACCGUCGGCAGAAUCAGGGCAGAGAAAUUACCGGCCGGCCGCGAUUUCCCACGCAGCUCGCCUUCGCGAGAACGAUCGAAUCCACGGAGUUUCGCUCCUCGACCGGAGUGCGUCUAAGGCCUGCUGUAAGUCGGUUUAUCAUUGGUCGUCGAGAUGCGGAGAGUAGAUGGCGCCGAUUAAAGCGCGGGAAGCGGAGCUAUAAAGGGGCCAGGAAAUGAUGCAACGUUCGUGGAAUCGAAUAGAAAGUCCAGUAGCUGCGAUACGAUGAUCCGAAGACGUCGAUGAGAAAUUAACAUUACUGCAACGUGACGCAUCGUGCAUACCUAAUAAACAGAUUCGUGUAAUGAAAAUCUUUAUGAGAGUUGUGAAGUAAUCAGUCAACCGUGCAAUCUCUUCUGUAUCUCUUCUGUAUCCCUUCGCCUCCGUACGCCUCUCGUCUCCUCUCUAUUUUCGUUCCCAUCCUUUAUCUCGUACCUACUCGUUCUUCUAUCUCCAUCUUCUUUCUCUUCCCUCUCUUUUCCUUUCUUUCCGACGAAAAGUAAAAAGUCGCAAUUUCUUUCCCAUUCAUCGAUCUUACCUUCGACUUACACCAUCGAAAGAUGUAUAAAUUACGUUCAAAUUUGAUGCAAUCUUUUCUAAUCGUAUUAAAAUCUCUCUCUCUCUCUCUUUCUCUCUUUAAAUAGCUUCUCUCUAAAUGGCUAAAAACAUCCACGUUUUUAAAGAUCCAUUUUCGAAAAUAUCGUAAAUACAAUCCUUCAGCUUUCGAUAAUACGCAUUAUCGGUGUUAAUUAUCGCUCCGUCGCGCGCGCAUUCAGCGUAUUCCUCCACGAUUUAUAUUCGCGCCACGCGCGUCAAUUCAAAGCGGAACUCUGGGAAAAUUGAAAAUCUCUUCUGUUUUUAUCCCCGCCCCCGAUCAAUUAUCGCGCCCGAACAUCUUUUCAUCCGGCCGAUCGAACGACUCGCACCGAUAUUUCGCGAAUUUUUAUUUUUACCUCUCUUCGCCUAUAAAGCGCCCAACUCCCUCUCCGUAUUAUAUCCGAAUCCGAAUUUCUCCAAUUUAACAACCGUUUGCUUUAUCGCUUCUGUCUACAUCCAACUAUUUUUCUUAUUUUAUACCGUCGAAUAAUUAAUCGAGAUACAUUAACGCUCGAGUUCGACGUCUCACUUAUUCCACUUACGGUCAGAAAAAUACAUAUAGAGCUUCUUCAAAAUUCAAACAUUCGAUCAAUUGAUACAUCAUUUAAUUCAAUUCAUUCCCGAUUAUGGCAGAGAAAUACCUCCUCUCUCCUUCUCCCUUUCCCUUUCCUUGAAUAAAAAGAUCCGGGAAGAAAAGCGGAGGCAUCGUUUCGGAAGGAAGAGGAGGGAGCCGUAAAUAAAGUAGCCGCGGUUAAUUCAACGUGCGAUAAGUCUCCUCUCCCCCCGCCAGAUAUAGAUACGGGGACAAUUUACGGUUUUGAAUUACGCCUCGGCCUUACGCCUCGGACGCGAGAGAGGAGAGAGGGGGUCCUAAGAGGAGGCCGACACCCACGUAUAUAAAUAGUGGACGGGAGCGUGUGGUCCUUUCGAGCGAGCAGAAACCGUUGACCUAUGACACGCACGCUAUAAACAAUCCUCUGAAGCAGUAAAUGGAUAUGUGCUGUUAUACGGCGUCGAGUUGAAAACUGAGCUCUGCCUCCUACCUCGACCGGGCCACGAUCCCCCCUCCUCUCUCUCUCUCUGUCUCCCUCCCUCUCUCCCUCCGUCUCUCGAACCGGGUGGCUAGGGUCGGUCCCUUGCGAAACGGUUAUUGGAUGCACGCCAUGCUCCCGUGCCAACCCCGGGGCUGUUGGUAAAUAUUUUUUGUCCUGACGAAUAGAUUUUCUGCGACAGCACGCGGGUAGACGCGACCGACCGCGAGCCUACACACGGAAAUUCAUUCCGGCCACUCGUCGAGCCUCCUCCUGCGGGACCUCUGAUAAAUCUUCCUCCUCCUCCUCCUCUCUUCAAUCGCCUCCCCCGCGACGCUUAAUUAACUCUGAUCGCCGCUCGUUUCGCCCCGCUUGUUUCUUUUUUUUCUUCUUCAUUGGGAAUGGAGAGGGGAGGGGGUGGAUCGUCGAAGGAAUUUUUUGGAACGGAGCGGGUUAGCUAGGUGUACGUAGGUGUGUAUAUGUAUGUGUGUGUAUAUCGGUUUUUCCCGAUUUUUCUUUUCAAUUCUUUCGUCGAAUUAUCUCGUUGAAAAUGAAAUUCGCGAAGAAUUAAAUCGUGUUACGAUGAUAGAAUGGAACGUUAAAUUGGUUGAUGUUCUUUUUUGGUUCUUGUACUUCGCGAAGGAAAUUUUUUUAAAGGGAUACAAGUUUGGGAAAUUGAAUUGUGCGUGAAAUGGAGAUUAUCGGAUGUAAUUGUUUGAAAUUUAAUAGUGUGUAAUUAAUAAUUUAGUUAGGAAAUGUGUUUAAUAUUAGAAAAAGGAUUCUUUCAUCGAGAAAAUUGUGAAAUCGUAUUAAAAUCUGUGAACCGUUGUGUGAAAAAGUAAUAAUGGAUUAGAUUUAACAAACGCGUGCUUACAUUUAUUUAUAAUCAUUGUAAUCCCCUUACUUUUACAACGUACUUUUUACACUCGAAGGAGAAAAUUUUUUUAAGAAAAUUGUUAGUUAGUAUCUAAUCUACAAGAAGUACAGGUCGUAAACUGUAAAGUAAUAGCAGUCCAGAUUUAAUAUGUACUUAUACUUACUUAUUUGAUGUGAUAUAUUAAAAAAUAAAGGAUUAGAUGUUAAUGAUAAAUUUCCACAUUGUAUCCGAAUCAC